UUUCAAGAUCAGCAACGAGUGUCCAGCAACUUCACUGAAAGAGAAGCAUUAUGAGUGGCAACUCUUCUUUCUUCGUCCGUCUAAUAACUCUCGUACUUACCUUGAUUACUAUUGUCUUUGCCUCCGCAGAUCCACAAGUUAAGAGAUUCAUUAGAAGGCAGGUGAUAGACCCACCACCAGCCCCCAUGGCAAAUAAAGUGAUGCACCACAUGCCACGGCCACCUAAUGGCCCUCCAAUAAUUGCUACACCAUAAAUUUCUAUAUCACCUUCCUUGUCUUGAUCGAUAUUAAAUGAAUGGAGUUGGGCUUGGAGAAAGAUUGAGCACACUUGAUAAUUUUCUGAAUCUGUCUCCGGAAAAAAAUCAUUCUCUUGAAGUUUAAAUAGUGACUAUUUUUUAAUUGCGGGGAUUGAAAAAUAACUCUUUGUAAAUUUCUCCAAAAUUAAUGUUGAAUUCGACUGUUAUUAUCCUAAGAAUUGUUUAGUGUAAAGGAAUCACAGCUAUUGUCUCUGGUACUGUGCUACUUUUAUUAGUUUACGAAAAAAUAAGAUAGUAAUUUGAUUGUUAA